GACCUCCUUAUGUUAUUCCACCUGGAGGAGGCUUUAGUGCAGUUUAAACAGGGACCAUCUACAGCUCCUGUAGAUCCACCUCAGCCCUGUGCUAACCCUCAUCCCCCGUGGAGAUGCCCUCAGGAAGAGCAUUGUCCAGACGCAGGAGUUUUACUUCAAAGAGGACGGAGCAGUCUUGAUAACAGCUUGUGGAGCGGUGGGACCUGUGCUUCUAAUACUUGAGAUGUUAUUUGAUGUUGGUGAUUUUCGUACUGGUGUUUUGGAUAUUUAUAGUCAGGUGCUCAGAAGAAAUGUUUGUGAAGGGUUCUUUCUGCCCCUCCUACCCCUCCUUUCCCUGCUCCCUCUUCCCUUCUCUCACCUUAUUUGGAAUUUCCUGGGCGGGUCCCCAAUUCUUCUCACCUGCUGAGCUCCACUCCUGGUUCCCAUCAAGUAAUCAUCUCCUGCAAUAAGAAACCAGCUGACCUGCUCUCCAGUGCCAGAUCGUUCCGUCAACCCAGUGUUCUUCCUUUUGGAGCCAGCCUCAUCCCAUUGCCACCUGUUCCACAAGCCCCUGGUCAGCCUCAUCCCCACAUACCUCGCACUUACAGCCAACCUGGACCCGUCCUGCCUCCCCUGGAACCUAUCCCCUUUCUGAGACUAUUUUUGUUAAUAAAUACUUUUGGUUUCUGCA